GAUGAAUGAUGGAGGCGUGCCUAAUACAUGCAAGUCGAGCGAACAGAUGAGGAGCUUGCUCCUCUGACGUUAGCGGCGGACGGGUGAGUAUCACGUGGAUAACCUACCUAUAAGACUGGGAUAACUUCGGGAAACCGGAGCUAAUACCGGAUAAUAUAUUGAACCGCAUGGUUCAAUAGUGAAAGACGGUUUUGCUGUCACUUAUAGAUGGAUCCGCGCCGCAUUAGCUAGUUGGUAAGGUAACGGCUUACCAAGGCAACGAUGCGUAGCCGACCUGAGAGGGUGAACGGCCACACUGGAACUGAGACACGGUCCAGACUCCUACGGGAGGCAGCAGUAGGGAAUCUUCCGCAAAGGGCGAAAGCCUGACGGAGCAACGCCGCGUGAGUGAUGAAGGUCUUCGGAUCGUAAAACUCUGUUAUUAGGGAAGAACAAAUGUGUAAGUAACUAUGCACGUCUUGACGGUACCUAAUCAGAAAGCCACGGCUAACUACGUG
rnacentral:rRNA from 1 species